rnacentral:lncRNA from 10 species
GCUUCGGAGAGAGAAAUGCUGGGGUGCAGCUUCAAGCUUAGGACCACCCACCAUGCCUAUCCAGGUAAGAACCCUUGCUCCUGCUCCUUCACUCACCUGGGUUUAAAAUAUCUCACUGUCUAGGUUGACUUCAUACCGUACCUCUAGAAACUGAUUGAUGUGCCAAUGAUUGUACUCAGUGUUUACAUACAAAAACCAUCUCAGGCUGGGCGCAGUGGCUUACACCUGUAAUUCCAGCACUUUGGGAGGCUGAGGUAGGUGGAUUACCUGAGGUCAGGAGUUCGAGACCAGC